rnacentral:ncRNA from 1 species
CAACCUGAGCUCAGUCGUGAUUACCCGCCGAACUUAAGCAUAUCAUUCAGCGGAGGAAAAGAAACUAACUAGGAUUCCCCAAGUAAUGGCGAAUGAAAGGGGAAGAGCCCAGCGCUGAAUCUCUCGGUCUUAGGCCGCUGAGAACUGUAGCGUAUAGGUGUGACUGUCCUGCUAUAUUGCAUUUCCGAAGUCUCUUUGAUAGGGGCCAACAUCCAGAGAGGGUGCGAGACCUGUACGGAAAGUAGUAUAGUUGGUAUGGUUACUCCUUGGAGUCGGGUUGCUUGAAAGUGCAGCCUAAAGUUGGUGAUAAACUUCAUCUAAGGCUAAAUAUCGACGCGAAAUCGAUAGCAAACAAGUACCGUGAGGGAAAGUUGCAAAGAACUUUGA